rnacentral:lncRNA from 1 species
UGUCACUUGUUCAUAGUAUUUGGGGAAUAAAAUAUUUGGAUCCUUGUGGAGUAAAUCUGUCUACUGAAACAUUGGGUACCUUGCUGCCAUUAUUGUUACUAAGAGUUAAAUGCCUGAUUUAUUUUGUUCUGAUUCAAAAUAUUCUAUAUGUAUGCAUUUUGAAAAGACUUAUUUGAAAUAAAACCUACAUUCGGAGAGAAAUAGAUGCCUUUGGAGUUAGCUGUCUCUCACUCUGACUUGAGUUUUGCUCAGCAAUGACAUAUCAAUCUGCUGUAAGAAGACAUUCAUCAUAUAAGCCCCAUAUACAUUGUUGUGUAUUGUGAAUAUGUUUCAAAUAUUGCUUUGCAGUACAGAGGUUUGCAAUAUCAAAUUCAGUUUACUCCUCUUAAAACAAAUCCAUACUUAAAAAACCACAUACUUCUGUGUGACUAGCCAACUUCAUGCUUACCCUUUAAAAUGUCUAAUAAUUUUUCAGUAUGAAGCCUUUUGAAAAGUAUUUUGGAAGAGUAAAAGAAGCUAUUUUAGCUAGUCACCUUUGUAAUGAUUCAUGUUCAUUAACUUACAAGGGAGAAGAGGGAUCAGAAACUUAGAAAGAGUGUCCACAUUGAACCCCACAUGCUUGCCUCUGAAGUCAAGAAAAGACCUACUGUGUUUUCCAGAGCAGAAGGCGCAGUAUCUGCUUCAAACCCGGCUCACACUGAGGAUGAACAACCUGGGUUACCUGGAUUACAAGAGAAAAGGAGGCUGCAUAAACGUCUUCCUGAGUCUCAUUUUCUGGGAAGAGUCACCAGGCAGCAAUGAGAAGAUUUCUCCUGGAUAACAGCAGGGAUGCUCUAAGUGGAGCUCCAUAUCACCAGCUCAUGGUUCAUAAGAGGCAAUCAAGAAAUCAGGGCAGCUUCCAUGCCCUAGGUCCAUUUUCCUUAGGAGGGCUUCUUUCCUGUAAGUAUGAAGCAGUAU